rnacentral:rRNA from 1 species
AACGGCCGUACCAUGCUGAAUAUACCGGUUCUCGUUACAUCACCGAAGUCAAGCAUCAUUGGGCGCGGUCAGUACUUGGGUGGGGGAACACCUGGGAACACCGCGUGC